UACACCAACUAACACAGUGGUGUAGCAAAGUGAUUACUAAAUAGUUACUCACAUUUUUGCACUAGUUUUUACAUGUUUCAUUUAAGCAUUUUAAACCUCAUAAAGUAUUAAGUUGAAGUUCUGCUAAACUAAUAUCUUUUAAAAAACCCUCAAGUUUAGAUUACUGACUCAAGAUGACAACAACUCUAGCAAGAAGCCAGCCGUAACCAAAUCUUUUCGUACAAAAUUCUAAGACUUAAAGGUGUUGAAACUCUGAUUGCAUUAUUCUGACAACAGAAUAUGGAAAAAUAAACAUACCCCCUGCUCCCUAUUCAACAGG